rnacentral:rRNA from 1 species
UGGGGAAUCUUGCACAAUGGGCGAAAGCCUGAUGCAGCGACGCCGCGUGGGGGAUGAAGGCCUUAGGGUCGUAAACCCCUUUCAGCAGGGACGAAAAUGACGGUACCUGCAGAAGAAGCCCCGGCCAACUACGUGCCAGCAGCCGCGGUAAGACGUAGGGGGCGAGCGUUGUCCGGAUUUAUUGGGCGUAAAGAGCUCGUAGGCGGUUGCGUAAGUCGGAUGUGAAAACUCAGGGCUCAACCCUGAGACGCCAUCCGAUACUGCGCUGACUUGAAUCCAGUAGGGGAGUGUGGAAUUCCUGGUGUAGCGGUGAAAUGCGCAGAUAUCAGGAGGAACACCCAUGGCGAAGGCAGCACUCUGGGCUGGUAUUGACGCUGAGGAGCGAAAGCAUGGGUAGCGAACAGGAUUAGAUACCCUAGUAGUCCCUGAGCGGGCUGGCAAGGCGCAU